UUUUCCUGCUGGUGGAACCAUCGCUCACCUAUUGCGUGUCCCCCGUUCUUGCGGGCUUCACCGGCUUCCCUUUGAAAAAAAGGUUAGACGAGCUCGCGGCUCAUCCAUGCGCGCGCCCCCUCUCGCACACACGGUCUCUUGCGCAGUGGGAGCUGCAUCCAUCACACGCACCGCUGUACACACGCUCACAGACACCCCUUCAAUUGCGGAUAGAGUUCGUGAGUCGCAACUGCAUCACACAACGCGCGGUACUACCGUGCGCCUUUCGACGCGAUUCCUUCUUCCACCUUUGUUCGAUUCACCCAAAGCCGACCAUGAGCAUCAACCCGACGAUUGGUGACAAGGACAUCCUUCAGCGGCGCACGUCCGCGAAUCCGAAGUACGAUUCUGUGCAGGCGGUGGUGGAGUCAGGCAUGACCGCUCAACUCGCGGAGUACAUGCGCAACAUCAAGAUCAAGACAAAGAGGCAGCCUGGUGAGUUGUUUCAGCGGCUGCGCGUCGAUGUCAUCGCAGCCUUCCUCAGCCGUCAGGAGCCCAAGUCGGUCCUAGAAGAUGGUGGAUUUGCACGGCCAAUGGACGAGUACGGCGGUCCCGAGAACGCGAUCGACAAGGCCGCCAUUAGCUACCUGCUGAUCGACUGCCGGGAAGUGGAGCACUACGAGGCCUGCCACAUCAAGACGGCGUUGCACUACCCAAAGAUCAAGGUGCAUCACUCGACCAAUCCGUUUUUGCCAGAGAUGUACGCCUACAAGAACAAGGAGAACAGGUAUAUCGUCCUUUACGACAUGGAAGAAGAAGCCGUUGUGAACUUGGCCAACACGAUGUUUCAGAAGGGGAUCGACAAUGUUGCCAUCAUCGCCGGUGGUCUGCGCGAGUUCGCGCAGGAUUAUGCCGAUUUUCUGACGGCGCGCCCCCCUGUGCCGAUCGUCCCCAGAGACUGGCGCAUGAAGCGGCGGGCUGAAGAAGCCACGCAAGCGCGCAGCGAGGCCCGCACCUCCAUGUCGCACAAGCCGAAGGGCUUGUCUAGCAGCCUUGCCCGCAGUAGUCGAAAAGGGACCUUCUGAGGUAGCCAAGUAGAGUGGCAUCAGGGAAGGUGACUCACCUGGUGCCGCGCGGUUUGCCUGUUUUGCGCGCAUGGCGCACACGGCUUGCCACGCCUCUUGUGCGUCAAGACACGGCCCCCUCUUUCGCCUCCCGUGUUCAAAGACAGGUUCGGCAUGCACAAGCGUCCGUUCGCGUUUGGAAUCAAGCAUUAGAAAAAAGGGGGGAGGUGCGGAAAGCGUGGGCCAGCAAACACGGAGAGAAUGGCGGUGGUGUACUGCUGGAGACGAACACCGAUGCCUCUUUCUCACUUUCGCUCUUCUCUCUUGCUGCCGGUGUCGUGCGCCUACCCGCUCUCUCGUCGUUGUUCUCUUCCUUGGCUUUGAUAUACUGUCCCCUCCCUCUUGAGGCUUUCUCACGAGCCGCUGACGCGAG
rnacentral:misc_RNA from 1 species